CAGGGUAUAGGCACUGACUAAAUUGGUUUUUAGAACUACCCAUAUUGGUUAUAACUACCCGUUAGUGCAAGCUCUGAACUAUAGGCUUCUGCUGACGCGUUUAAACCGUCAUCUUGAUGGACUGCUAAACAACAAAUCGAAGAAACAGUACGGAUUUCGCGCAGGAAUAUGUGCUCGAUAGCACGCUGCGAAAAGGAUUCUUACUAUUGCUGGGAAAGCUGCUCGGGGACCAGUUCAAAAACGAGAUUUAUGUGCGGUCGUCUCACUAGAUGUGAGCAAUACCUUCAAUACAUCUCCGUGAACUAGAAUUGACCAUGCCCUGGAAGUAAAGGCUGUACCAAGCUACCUGAGAAAUAUCCUCAGGGUCUUAUCUCGAGGACCGAUCGCUUAUUGUUGGUGAAACACAGACUCAAAAAACCGUAACAUGCAGCAGAUCUGCUUGACACCUGGAGUACUAGCCAAUUUUUGAGCGGUGCCAGGUGGACAGGUCGUAUAUCUGGCAAGUAACGGUAGUGGCUGAAGAAAAAAGGCGGACCAUCACUGAAUGGUGCGAUUACUGGUGAGACACGUGCAAGGAAGCGUGAACCGGACAACUGUCGCGUGGCGCGAGUAGUAUGACGUCACAAAAUUCGUUUCACGCGGCUUUUUUCGCGGUAUAAUUUCGGAUCGGCCUAGGAAGAGGUCUAGAUCAAAGAAUAGCCGGGCGGGCCGUGCCGCACGGCAAAAGAUGCCCAGUGUGGACAUGUUAUUUGGCAAAAAUGCCAAGCAGCUGUUGAAUAUAUCGUAAAAUAUAUGUUAAUACUAUGUUAUUAUUGUUUUAAUUUAAAAAAGUAUACAUUUUGACACAGUAUUUAAAUAUUUGUAUUUCAAAGUAAUU